rnacentral:rRNA from 1 species
CCUACGGGAGGCUGCAGUAGGGAAUAUUGCACAAUGGGCGCAAGCCUGAUGCAGCCAUGCCGCGUGUGUGAAGAAGGCCUUCGGGUUGUAAAGCACUUUCAGCGGGGAGGAAGGCGGUGAGGUUAAUAACCUCAUCGAUUGACGUUACCCGCAGAAGAAGCACCGGCUAACUCCGUGCCAGCAGCCGCGGUAAUACGGAGGGUGCAAGCGUUAAUCGGAAUUACUGGGCGUAAAGCGCACGCAGGCGGUCUGUCAAGUCGGAUGUGAAAUCCCCGGGCUCAACCUGGGAACUGCAUUCGAAACUGGCAGGCUAGAGUCUUGUAGAGGGGGGUAGAAUUCCAGGUGUAGCGGUGAAAUGCGUAGAGAUCUGGAGGAAUACCGGUGGCGAAGGCGGCCCCCUGGACAAAGACUGACGCUCAGGUGCGAAAGCGUGGGGAGCAAACAGGAUUAGAUACCCCUGUAGUC